rnacentral:misc_RNA from 1 species
GAUGAAGAACGUAGCGAAAUGCGAUAAGUAAUGUGAAUUGCAGAAUUCAGUGAAUCAUCGAAUCUUUGAACGCACCUUGCGCCCUUUGGCUAUUCCGAAGGGCAUGCCUGUUUGAGUAUCAUGAACACCUCAACUCUCAUGGCCUGCCAUGAUGAGCUUGGACUUUGGGGGUCUUGCCGGCCUAGUGUCGGCUCCUCUCAUACGGAUCAGCUUGCCAGUGUUUGGUGGCGUCACAGGUGUGAUAACUAUCUACGCUUGUGGUUUUUCCACCAGGUAACCUUCAGCAGUGGAGGUUCGCUGGAGCUCAUAGAUGUCUCUCCUCAGUGAGGACAGCCCUUUGAAUGUUUGAUCUCAAAUCAGGUAGGACUACCCGCUGAACUUAAGCAUAUCAAUAAGCUGAGGA